rnacentral:snRNA from 1 species
GGAUGUGAAAGUGAUCUGGCUGCGACAUCUUUCACCCCAUUGAUUGCAAGGGUUGAUUAGGCUGAUUUGGCUGGCUAAGCAGAUUUUCCCUUCCUCCCACAGCUUCAAGCUAGGUUGUCGAGGAUGGCCUUUCCCAAUAGAGACAGAUCGAGGACAUGUCUUUGGUCAAGGGUGUAAGAGUAGCUGCACUUCCCUGCUAGAACCUCCAAACAAGCUCUCAAGGUCCAAAUGUUACCAUGUGUAAGGACUCAGGUUUGGGCGCCUGCUCUCCACCUGCAGGUGGGGAAGAUUCAUGGAAUUACACUUUUGUCU